rnacentral:lncRNA from 1 species
GUGUUGUAGGUUGUAGGCACUCCGCUUGAUCGAAGAUUUAAAAGGUUCUAUUUUUUCGCUGCGGAGAACAUCCACCAGCGUCGAACUAAAUAAAAAAUCGUUGUGCUGGCAGAGCGGUUUUCACAGAUUGUACUGCAAAAAAUUACAGCUGUGAAAAUGAUGCGCGUGUGCGUGGCAGCGCUGCUGGUGACGUCAGCGGUGGGCUACGGGGGCGGCGGGGGUGGGGGGCAGGCC